rnacentral:rRNA from 1 species
GGACGUGAAACCACUGACAGGCAAACGGGUGGAGCCACGAAGUGUGCCCGGAGGGCGAUUCAGUUGCGGCCAGCUGUUGGCGCGGCGUGCGGGGGCCGUUUGUUUCGGUUUCCCGCGUCGAGUCUGCAAUGGUUGGCGGUAAUGCAUUUUGUCAUUCCGGUGCUAAAGCCACGUCCGAUUAGGUGGCUGGAACGGCCGUAGCGAGUGACUCGAGGAAGGUGACCGUGUGUGCUUGCACUCUGCGGUGUUAUAGCCUCGAGUCGGCGCCGUUGCCUAGCGUGCUGAUCGGUGCAAGUGCUCCGUUUGGAGUAUUGCGAGCAAUGGGCUAGUGAGCUUGUGGCGUCGCGUUGGCGGUGCCAGUGUGGACUUUGUCGCCUUCGGGCGUUCAAAGACGCGGUGGUAUUCGUGGACGCGGCGUGGCUGGCUUGACUGGCUUGUGCAAACUGUGGUGCGAGUAGGUCGGUGUCCACCCGACCCGUCUUGAAACACGGACCAAGGAGCCUAACAUGUGCGCAAGUCGCUCGGUCUUGAAUAGGCCCGGGAGGCGAAAUGAAAGUAAUUGCCACGAAGCUGCGUACGCAGUUGCAGUGGCUGCCCGCCUACUUCAUUAAUUGGUGAUAUGGCGGAGCGGGAGCGCAUACGUUGGUACCCGAAAGAUGGUGAACUAUGCCUGGGCAAGAUGAAGCCAGAGGAAACUCUGGUGGAGGUCUGUAGCGAUUCUGACGUGCAAAUCGAUCGUCAGACC